GGGUUGUGAGGUUAAGCGACUAAGCGUACACGGUGGAUGCCCUGGCAGUCAGAGGCGAUGAAGGACGUGCUAAUCUGCGAUAAGCGUCGGUAAGGUGAUAUGAACCGUUAUAACCGGCGAUUUCCGAAUGGGGAAACCCAGUGUGAUUCGUCACACUAUCAUUAACUGAAUCCAUAGGUUAAUGAGGCGAACCGGGGGAACUGAAACAUCUAAGUACCCCGAGGAAAAGAAAUCAACCGAGAUUCCCCCAGUAGCGGCGAGCGAACGGGGAGCAGCCCAGAGCCUGAAUCAGUGUGUGUGUUAGUGGAAGCGUCUGGAAAGGCGCGCGAUACAGGGUGACAGCCCCGUACACAAAAAUGCACAUGCUGUGAGCUCGAUGAGUAGGGCGGGACACGUGGUAUCCUGUCUGAAUAUGGGGGGACCAUCCUCCAAGGCUAAAUACUCCUGACUGACCGAUAGUGAACCAGUACCGUGAGGGAAAGGCGAAAAGAACCCCGGCGAGGGGAGUGAAAAAGAACCUGAAACCGUGUACGUACAAGCAGUGGGAGCACGCUUAGGCGUGUGACUGCGUACCUUUUGUAUAAUGGGUCAGCGACUUAUAUUCUGUAGCAAGGUUAACCGAAUAGGGGAGCCGAAGGGAAACCGAGUCUUAACUGGGCGUUAAGUUGCAGGGUAUAGACCCGAAACCCGGUGAUCUAGCCAUGGGCAGGUUGAAGGUUGGGUAACACUAACUGGAGGACCGAACCGACUAAUGUUGAAAAAUUAGCGGAUGACUUGUGGCUGGGGGUGAAAGGCCAAUCAAACCGGGAGAUAGCUGGUUCUCCCCGAAAGCUAUUUAGGUAGCGCCUCGUGAAUUCAUCUCCGGGGGUAGAGCACUGUUUCGGCAAGGGGGUCAUCCCGACUUACCAACCCGAUGCAAACUGCGAAUACCGGAGAAUGUUAUCACGGGAGACACACGGCGGGUGCUAACGUCCGUCGUGAAGAGGGAAACAACCCAGACCGCCAGCUAAGGUCCCAAAGUCAUGGUUAAGUGGGAAACGAUGUGGGAAGGCCCAGACAGCCAGGAUGUUGGCUUAGAAGCAGCCAUCAUUUAAAGAAAGCGUAAUAGCUCACUGGUCGAGUCGGCCUGCGCGGAAGAUGUAACGGGGCUAAACCAUGCACCGAAGCUGCGGCAGCGACGCUUAUGCGUUGUUGGGUAGGGGAGCGUUCUGUAAGCCUGCGAAGGUGUGCUGUGAGGCAUGCUGGAGGUAUCAGAAGUGCGAAUGCUGACAUAAGUAACGAUAAAGCGGGUGAAAAGCCCGCUCGCCGGAAGACCAAGGGUUCCUGUCCAACGUUAAUCGGGGCAGGGUGAGUCGACCCCUAAGGCGAGGCCGAAAGGCGUAGUCGAUGGGAAACAGGUUAAUAUUCCUGUACUUGGUGUUACUGCGAAGGGGGGACGGAGAAGGCUAUGUUGGCCGGGCGACGGUUGUCCCGGUUUAAGCGUGUAGGCUGGUUUUCCAGGCAAAUCCGGAAAAUCAAGGCUGAGGCGUGAUGACGAGGCACUACGGUGCUGAAGCAACAAAUGCCCUGCUUCCAGGAAAAGCCUCUAAGCAUCAGGUAACAUCAAAUCGUACCCCAAACCGACACAGGUGGUCAGGUAGAGAAUACCAAGGCGCUUGAGAGAACUCGGGUGAAGGAACUAGGCAAAAUGGUGCCGUAACUUCGGGAGAAGGCACGCUGAUAUGUAGGUGAAGCGACUUGCUCGUGGAGCUGAAAUCAGUCGAAGAUACCAGCUGGCUGCAACUGUUUAUUAAAAACACAGCACUGUGCAAACACGAAAGUGGACGUAUACGGUGUGACGCCUGCCCGGUGCCGGAAGGUUAAUUGAUGGGGUCAGCGCAAGCGAAGCUCUUGAUCGAAGCCCCGGUAAACGGCGGCCGUAACUAUAACGGUCCUAAGGUAGCGAAAUUCCUUGUCGGGUAAGUUCCGACCUGCACGAAUGGCGUAAUGAUGGCCAGGCUGUCUCCACCCGAGACUCAGUGAAAUUGAACUCGCUGUGAAGAUGCAGUGUACCCGCGGCAAGACGGAAAGACCCCGUGAACCUUUACUAUAGCUUGACACUGAACAUUGAGCCUUGAUGUGUAGGAUAGGUGGGAGGCUUUGAAGUGUGGACGCCAGUCUGCAUGGAGCCGACCUUGAAAUACCACCCUUUAAUGUUUGAUGUUCUAACGUUGACCCGUAAUCCGGGUUGCGGACAGUGUCUGGUGGGUAGUUUGACUGGGGCGGUCUCCUCCUAAAGAGUAACGGAGGAGCACGAAGGUUGGCUAAUCCUGGUCGGACAUCAGGAGGUUAGUGCAAUGGCAUAAGCCAGCUUGACUGCGAGCGUGACGGCGCGAGCAGGUGCGAAAGCAGGUCAUAGUGAUCCGGUGGUUCUGAAUGGAAGGGCCAUCGCUCAACGGAUAAAAGGUACUCCGGGGAUAACAGGCUGAUACCGCCCAAGAGUUCAUAUCGACGGCGGUGUUUGGCACCUCGAUGUCGGCUCAUCACAUCCUGGGGCUGAAGUAGGUCCCAAGGGUAUGGCUGUUCGCCAUUUAAAGUGGUACGCGAGCUGGGUUUAGAACGUCGUGAGACAGUUCGGUCCCUAUCUGCCGUGGGCGCUGGAGAAUUGAGGGGGGCUGCUCCUAGUACGAGAGGACCGGAGUGGACGCAUCACUGGUGUUCGGGUUGUCAUGCCAAUGGCACUGCCCGGUAGCUAAAUGCGGAAGAGAUAAGUGCUGAAAGCAUCUAAGCACGAAACUUGCCCCGAGAUGAGUUCUCCCUGACUCCUUGAGAGUCCUGAAGGAACGUUGAAGACGACGACGUUGAUAGGCCGGGUGUGUAAGCGCAGCGAUGCGUUGAGCUAACCGGUACUAAUGAACCGUGAGGCUUAACCUUACAACGCCGAAG
rnacentral:rRNA from 1 species